rnacentral:rRNA from 1 species
GAUGAACGCUGGCGGCGUGCCUAAUACAUGCAAGUCGAGCGAACGGACGAGAAGCUUGCUUCUCUGAUGUUAGCGGCGGACGGGUGAGUAACACGUGGAUAACCUACCUAUAAGACUGGGAUAACUUCGGGAAACCGGAGCUAAUACCGGAUAAUAUUUUGAACCGCAUGGUUCAAAAGUGAAAGACGGUCUUGUUGUCACUUAUAGAUGGAUCCGCGCUGCAUUAGCUAGUUGGUAAGGUAACGGCUUACCAAGGCAACGAUGCAUAGCCGACCUGAGAGGGUGAUCGGCCACACUGGAACUGAGACACGGUCCAGACUCCUACGGGAGGCAGCAGUAGGGAAUCUUCCGCAAUGGGCGAAAGCCUGACGGAGCAACGCCGCGUGAGUGAUGAAGGUCUUCGGAUCGUAAAACUCUGUUAUUAGGGAAGAACAUAUGUGUAAGUAACUGUGCACAUCUUGACGGUACCUAAUCAGAAAGCCACGGCUAACUACGUG